rnacentral:rRNA from 1 species
GACGAACGCUGGCGGCGCGCUUAACACAUGCAAGUCGAGCGAGAACCAGGGCUUCGGCCCUGGGGACAGCGGCGAACGGGUGAGUAACACGUGGGUAAUCUGCCCUCGGCACCGGAAUAGCCCGGGGAAACCCGGAUUAAUGCCGGAUGGCCCCUUCACCUCGCGAGGUGUCGGGAAAAGGUAGCUUCGGCCUCUGGCCGAGGAUGAGCCCGCGGCGGAUUAGCUUGUUGGCGGGGUAACGGCCCACCAAGGCGACGAUCCGUAGCUGGGCGGAGAGGCAGAUCAGCCACACUGGGACUGAGACACGGCCCAGACGCCUACGGGAGGCAGGAGGGGGGAAUCUUGCGCAAUGGGCGAAAGCCUGACGCAGCGACGCCGCGUGAGGUAAGAAGGCCUUCGGGUUGUAACCCUCUUUCAGGAGGGACGAAGCUACUCGGGUGAAUAGCCCAGAGGGUGACGGUACCUCCAGAAGAAGCCCCGGCUAACUACGUGCCAGCAGCCGCCGUAA